rnacentral:lncRNA from 1 species
CUGGGCUUGUUUUGUGACCACAGGCAAAGAUUGCUUGGAUUUCCUCCCUUUGCCUGCCUAUGGCAUGGCAAUGGCCAUAUCCAGCCUCUCCUGAUGGCUUUGGAUUCCUGCAGGAGCAGUUCCGAGGUGCUGGGCUGGGGUGCCGUGCAGCAGGGCAGACAUCGCACGAAUGCAAAUAUUCAUUCCAAACAAUAAGAUAAGGUCCUGGGCUGGAAGACAAGCAGCCGGCAGUUCGUUGUGGCAUUAAACAAAGUCCAAAGUACUCACAUCACACAAAAUCCAACCAAAGGGCAACACCCUUCUGCUGCUCCUGAAUUGUCAGGGCUAUUUACGGGAUUUUCGGAUGCACGUGAGACAGAUGAUGCAGGAACUGCCAAUCCCCAUGAGCUGUUGAUAAAACCUUCCUCUCCAGACUAGCUCAGCAGGGGCAGAUGGCAUUUUUAGAGUCAUUCCCAAGUGGGCUGCCAUGAGAUGGACCUGUUCUCGAUUGCUCGUGACCCUUCUCAUCAGCAAGCCCAGCAUCUCCCGUUGCCCCGGAUCGGCUGCACACAGGGCUCCGCUUGUUGGGAAAUUCCAGCUAGCUGAAAUCGGAGCUGGAUCAGAGGAACCCCUGGACUGCAGAGGAGGAGGAGGAGGAGGAGAACUGUGCGGCUCAUGCAGCGGGGCAGAGCCACAUUUCAUUCCUUGCAGCAGACCCGGCAGGAUGGGACCUUCUACCUUGGGGCUACCCUGCUCUGAGCAUGACUGUGGGGUUUCCUACCUCUUCACAAAUAAUUCAGAGAGGCCUCUGGUCUUUACCAACACAGAAGAGGAAAAGCAGCAGCAGUGCCCGCAGCCAGUCCCCAAGCAGUGCUAUCCCCAAGCUAAGACAAGCAGGGCACCUCGCCAUUGCCAAAGGGCAAACUGUUUGUGCCCUUCAGGUAGAGAUGUUGAUUUCCCUGGGAUAAUGCAAGGAAGACUUGGCAAAGUCAUCUUGUUUGUGGGAACACCCCAGUGUGCCCUGACAGGCUCAGCAGGAGGAAAGCAGGGAUAUAGCCCAGAGCAGCUCUCCAAGUGUCCCUCAGCACGCUCAGCCUGA